rnacentral:misc_RNA from 1 species
GAAGGAGACUCUGGAAAGUAGAGAUCAUUGUUGAUUGGAUAAUAGAAUCACCAACUGCCCAUCAGACCGAUGCGUAUAGAGAUGCCAGUUUGGGUUCAUCCAAAGUGUCUCCUUCUCUUCGUUGUCCUCUUAAUUUUUCUCAUUUUCACUUUCAUUACUCCUAAAAAGGAUGAAGAAAAGGUUGAAGAGGUGUAUGAGAUCACCCAUAGAGU